ensembl:lncRNA
AUAGGGUUUUUUAUCUGAAAUGUACCCCAUUACAACAUAGGGUUUUUUAUCUGAAAUGUACCCCAUUACAACAUAGGGGGGUUUAUUAUCUGAAAUGUACCCCAUUACAACAUAGUGUUUUUUAUCUGAAAUGUACCCCAUUACAACAUAGGGGUGUAUCUGAAAUGUACCCCAUUACAACAUAGGGGUUUAUUAUCUGAAAUGUACCCCAUUACAACAUAGUUUUUUUUAUAUGUACCCCAUUACAACAUAGGGGUUUAUUAUCUGAAAUGUACCCCAUUACAACAUAGGGUUUUUUAAAAUCUGAAAUGUACCCCA